rnacentral:rRNA from 1 species
GUAGGGAAUAUUGGGCAAUGGUCGGAAGACUGACCCAGCCAUGCCGCGUGCAGGAAGACGGCCCUCUGGGUUGUAAACUGCUUUUAUCUGGGAAGAAAAAGGCCAUGCGUGGCAAAUUGCCGGUACCAGAUGAAUAAGCACCGGCUAACUCCGUGCCAGCAGCCGCGGUAAUACGGAGGGUGCGAGCGUUGUCCGGAUUUAUUGGGUUUAAAGGGUGCGUAGGCGGCUGAUUAAGUCAGCGGUGAAAGACUUCGGCUUAACCGGAGCAGUGCCGUUGAUACUGGUUGGCGUGAGUGUAGGAGGGGUACAUGGAAUUGAUGGUGUAGCGGUGAAAUGCAUAGAUACCAUCAGGAACACCGAUAGCGAAGGCAGUGUACUGGCCGACAACUGACGCUGAUGCACGAAAGUGUGGGGAUCGAACAGGAUUAGAAACCCGUGUAGUCC